GGUAAGAUGGCUGAGAAUCAAGUGGUGGGUUGUAGCCCCAUAAACAGAGGUGAAACCCCUCUUCUUACCA
rnacentral:tRNA from 1 species